rnacentral:lncRNA from 1 species
AUGCACACAUUGCUUAGGUUGUUUGAUAAAAAAAAAUAAAAAUUGGUGCAUCAACAUGCUUUAUGCUGAUACUGUACGGUCCAUUUUAGAUGGCAAUUUAAAUUUGCUUCCAUGCCACAAUGAAAACUUGUUUGAAGUUCCUAUUAGAGAUGACUUACAAAACUUGGAUAUUAUUUGAAGUUUGAACUGAAAUUUUAGUGAAGUCCAGUUUUUUACCAGAGGCAUUUUCAUGCUAAGUGAGUUUGAAACGUGUUUUUGUGGUUUGGGUGCUUAGCAACUUAAUUCCUAAACCUGUUCUGAUGUGGUUUAAUUUGUAAGUUCAAGUAGCAGACAUACUUAAAUGGAUCAAUAUGGGCUGUGAGCAUCUAUGUAGUUAACCUUGAACUUACUUGUGAGAAGAUUGGGGUGUAAUACGUAGUAGGUGAAUUAUAAAUUCAAGAAAUAUUUUGCAACUGGACCUUAGUUUGCUUUUUAUCAGGAUGGGAUUGUUGUUCUAGAUUAACAUGUAGCUCUGUGCUAUGAGAUGGCCUAGAGCUAGACGGGUGAAAGUUUGAUCGUUUUUCUUGUGGAAACAUGGAUAUUAUACCCUUUUGCCUUUGGUACUGUAAUGGGAGGGCUUAGAAAGUUCACUUUGCCCUUCAAUUUACAGCACAAGAGCUAUUUUUUAUGGCCUCAUGUGCUCAUUUUAUCUACAGAGUAAUAAAAAGUUAUAUUCUAUGGGGUUUUUGCAUUUGAAGUGGCUGUUGCAUUGUAUUAUGUUUGUGUAUUCCCAAGCAAACAAAUCAAGUUUGUCCUUAUUUUUUUAAGUUAAUUCUUUGUUUCUAUUUUUAUUGGCUCAGUUAAUGUCUCGAAGUUACCCCUAACACUUUGGUGUAGUUGCAAAAGAGCGCAACAUAUGUAAUGUGUGAGUUAAGUGCGUGUCAUGACUUUAGACCCUAAUGUGAAUAAAAGCUGGGUAUUUAAGUGAAGGGUAGAUAGAGAAGCACACUCAUUAUUGAUCGGCAAAAAAUAUUUGCAAUGUUUCUAUUCUUAUGCUGUCCCAAUCUCUGUCUCUCUCUCAUUCUCCAUGAUUCAGGUUCAGGAGUGUGUCGAGAAGGAUGAUUUGAGGUGGUGAAAUUUCACAUUUGACAACUUUGGAGAUAAUUUUUGUUCAGAUCAUACAUUUCUGGCCUUUUCCUUCAAGUUUUUGGGUUUAUUUGUUUUUUGCCUUGAGGUACUGUUUUAAUUUACUUUUAAUGUAUUUUUUGUUUAGAAAUUUUCAUGCAAGUUGGAGAAAGUAUCUUGAAGGUGAGUGGUUCCUUGCAAGAGACUAUUGGAGUGUAAUUGGGGCUCAAAAUCAAAAUCAGAAUACCAAAUUAUGUUUUCCGGUGAAUUACAGAGAAACACUUNNNN